AGUGAACGCUGGCGGUAGGCCUAACACAUGCAAGUCGAACGGCAGCACAGGAGAGCUUGCUCUCUGGGUGGCGAGUGGCGGACGGGUGAGGAAUACAUCGGAAUCUACUCUGUCGUGGGGGAUAACGUAGGGAAACUUGCGCUAAUACCGCAUACGACCUACGGGUGAAAGCAGGGGACCUUCGGGCCUUGCGCGAUUGAAUGAGCCGAUGUCGGAUUAGCUAGUUGGCGGGGUAAAGGCCCACCACGGCGACGAUCCGUAGCUGGUCUGAGAGGAUGAUCAGCCACACUGGAACGGAGACACGGUCCAGACUCCUACGGGAGGCAGCAGUGGGGAAUAUUGGACAAUGGGCGCAAGCCUGAUCCAGCCAUACCGCGUGGGUGAAGAAGGCCUUCGGGUUGUAAAGCCCUUUUGUUGGGAAAGAAAUCCAGCUGGCUAAUACCCGGUUGGGAUGACGGUACCCAAAGAAUAAGCACCGGCUAACUUCGUGCCAGCCGCCGCCGUAA
rnacentral:rRNA from 1 species